UACGAAGGGGGGCUAGCGUUGCUCGGAAUCACUGGGCGUAAAGCGCACGUAGGCGGACUCUUAAGUCGGUGGUGAAAUCCUGGAGCUCAACUCCAGAACUGCCUUCGAUACUGGGAGUCUUGAGUCCGGGAGAGGUGAGUGGAACUGCGAGUGUAGAGGUGAAAUUCGUAGAUAUUCGCAAGAACACCAGUGGCGAAGGCGGCUCACUGGCCCGGUACUGACGCUGAGGUGCGAAAGCGUGGGGAGCAAACAGG
rnacentral:rRNA from 1 species